rnacentral:rRNA from 1 species
UACGUAGGGUGCAAGCGUUGUCCGGAAUUAUUGGGCGUAAAGAGCUCGUAGGCGGUUUGUCGCGUCUGCUGUGAAAACCCGAGGCUCAACCUCGGGUCUGCAGUGGGUACGGGCAGACUGGAGUGCGGUAGGGGAGAAUGGAAUUCCUGGUGUAGCGGUGGAACGCGCAGAUAUCAGGAGGAACACCGAUGGCGAAGGCAGUUCUCUGGGCCGUAACUGACGCUGAGGAGCGAAAGCGUGGGGAGCGAACAGG